ACGGGAGGCAGCAGUGGGGAAUAUUGGGCAAUGGGCGAAAGCCUGACCCAGCGACGCCGCGUGAAGGAAGACGGUCCUCGGAUUGUAAACUUCUUUUAUAAGGGACGAUAGUGACGGUACCUUAUGAAUAAGCCACGGCUAACUACGUGCCAGCAGCCGCGGUAAUACGUAGGUGGCGAGCGUUAUCCGGAUUUACUGGGUGUAAAGGGUGUGUAGGCGGGACUGCAAGUCAGAUGUGAAAAUCACGGGCUCAACUCGUGACCUGCAUUUGAAACUGUGGUUCUUGAGGGUCGGAGAGGUAACUGGAAUUCCUGGUGUAGCGGUGAAAUGCGUAGAUAUCAGGAGGAACACCGGUGGCGAAGGCGGGUUACUGGACGAUUACUGACGCUGAGACACGAAAGCGUGGGGAGCAAACAGGAUUAGAUACCCUGGUA
rnacentral:rRNA from 1 species